rnacentral:rRNA from 1 species
UGCGUAGGCGGACUAAUAAGUCAGUGGUGAAAUCUUUCGGCUCAACCGAGAAACUGCCAUUGAUACUGUUAGCCUUGAGUUCGGUUGAGGUAGGCGGAAUGUGUAAUGUAGCGGUGAAAUGCUUAGAUAUUACACAGAACACCAAUUGCGUAGGCAGCUUACUAGACCGACACUGACGCUGAGGCACGAAAGCGUGGGGAGCGAACAGGAUUAGAUACCCUGGUAGUCC